GAAUACUGGACGUCAUUAAGGGACACAGCGCAGUACUACAUAGGAUUAAGUUCGAUCGGCUUUGCAUCAGAUCCAUCUGUUGUGCAGGAACAUAUCAAAAGCUAUAUGGAUUACCUGCGACAAACGAGCGUUUACCUUCAACAGCAAGCCACGUACAAAUAAUUCCAAAGAACUGAAGGAUACAAAAGAUGUCAAAAAUUUCCAAUUGCAUGAUUAAUUCAAAGUAGACUGUGCGAGCUCAGAAAGCAUGUCAUUACCAAUCAAUCCACCCUGACAACGUGGAAUGCCUUCUGCUCAUUACAAAGCACAAUAUAACCACAGCUCAAUGAGCUCUAACUGUGCUGAGAUUUAUCCAGAGUAGGUGCGUGUGUUAAGCAUUUCAUGAAAAAUGUUAAUCAAUAAAUAUUGAUGGUAACAA